rnacentral:rRNA from 1 species
UAAGGAAUAUUGGUCAAUGGUCGGAAGACUGAACCAGCCACGCCGCGUGCAGGAUGACGGUCCUCUGGAUUGUAAACUGCUUUUGCCGAGGGAUAAAAGCGGGCUAUAUGCCUUUUUGAAGGUACUCGGUGAAUAAGCCACGGCUAACUACGUGCCAGCAGCCGCGGUAAUACGUAGGUGGCAAGCGUUGUCCGGAUUUAUUGGGUUUAAAGGGUGCGUAGGCUGUUAAUUAAGUCAGUCGUUAAAGGCAGCAGCUUAACUGUUGUAAGGCGAUUGAUACUGAUUGACUUGAAUUCGUUAGAGGUAGCUGGAAUACGUAGUGUAGAGGUGAAAUUCAUAGAUAUUACGUAGAACACCGAUUGCGGAGGCAUGUUACUAUAACGAAAUUGACGCUGAGGCA